AGGAGCUAAUCGUGUAGAAAACUUUGAAACUUUCCUUUUGUAUAUUACAUUAAUCCAUAGAAGAAAAUCUCUUUUAAUGAGGAGUGAUGUAGUUACAAACUCUCCAGAGCCAUAAUUAGAGCAAACUAAUUGAAGUUGUGUUUUGACACACUUUCCAAAUUCACGGGUGCUGGAUGACAUAUUCACAACACUGUUGCUGCACAACCAUGGCGACGGCAAAAUCAUUAGGCUAAUAACACUUAUUUGCAUUCUUAGCAUGCCAGCAGCUCUCCUGUUAAAUACUGUUUCAACCACUACUCGUUUACUGUAAGUUUCCACUGAAAGAUAUUAACAGUAAUUAUUACUACUUUUGUGGAAUUUUAAUGUAAAAAA
rnacentral:sRNA from 1 species